AUUGAACGCUGGCGGCAGGCUUAACACAUGCAAGUCGAGCGGAGUGAUGGUGCUUGCACUAUCACUUAGCGGCGGACGGGUGAGUAAUGCUUAGGAAUCUGCCUAUUAGUGGGGGACAACAUCUCGAAAGGGAUGCUAAUACCGCAUACGUCCUACGGGAGAAAGCAGGGGAUCACUUGUGACCUUGCGCUAAUAGAUGAGCCUAAGUCGGAGUAGCUAGUUGGUGGGGUAAAGGCCUACCAAGGCGACGAUCCGUAGCGGGUCUGAGAGGAUGAUCCGCCACACUGGGACUGAGACACGGCCCAGACUCCUACGGGAGGCAGCAGUGGGGGAUAUUGGACAAUGGGGGGAACCCUGAUCCAGCCAUGCCGCGUGUGUGAAGAAGGCCUUAUGGUUGUAAAGCACUUUAAGCGAGGAGGAGGCUCUUUUGGUUAAUACCCAAGAUGAGUGGACGUUACUCGCAGAAUAAGCACCGGCUAACUCUGUGCCAGCCGCCGCCGUAA
rnacentral:rRNA from 1 species